UUUGUACUCCCUCCGUCCCAAAAUUCUUGUCUUAAAUUUGUCUAAAUACGGAUGUAUCUAGUUACAUUUUAGUGUUAGAUACAUCCGUAUCUAAACAAAUGUAAGACAAGGAUUCUGGGACGGAGGGAAUACUAC
rfam:Triticum aestivum genome assembly, contig: Triticum_aestivum_CS42_TGACv1_scaffold_147708_2BS